rnacentral:rRNA from 1 species
CCUACGGGUGGCAGCAGUGGGGAAUAUUGGACAAUGGGGGGAACCCUGAUCCAGCGACGCCGCGUGAGUGAAGAAGUAUUUCGGUAUGUAAAGUUCUAUCAGCAGGGAAGAAAGAAAUGACGGUACCUGACUACGAAGCCCCGGCUAACUACGUGCCAGCAGCCGCGGUAAUACGUAGGGGGCAAGCGUUAUCAGGAUUUACGGGGUGUAAAGGGGGCGUAGACGGUUACGCACGUCUGGGGUGAAAGGCGGGGGCCCAACCCCCGGACUGCUUUGGAAACUGUAUAACUGGAGUGCAGGAGAGGUAAGUGGAAUGCCUAGUGUAGCGGUGAAAUGCGUAGAUAUUAGGAGGAACACCAGUGGCGAAGGCGGCUUACUGGACUGUAACUGACGUUGAGGCUCGAAAGCGUGGGGAGCAAACAGGAUUAGAUACCCGAGUAGUC